UACAACAAAAGAGAGCCCGAACAGUGACAUCUGUUCUUCGGAACAAACAGUUUCACCCUGUUCUUAGGAGCUCGAACUUGACAUAUAACAAGUGAAUUACAUAGCCACACGAGACUUUAUUUAUGCAUUUUUAUGGCAUAAACAAAUCUUCAUAGACCCAAUAUCUGAAUCAUGCAACAUUUCAAUAUAGCUUAAUUUUCCUGAAUAACUAUUUUCAAUAGAAUUAGUUAUGACAUGCAUACUUAGUUACUACACCCUUCUUAUUCUUCAUUGUAGAUUCUCAGGAAGCCCACAAGGAAGUAUUAUCCCUGUCUCUUUCUCUAUGUCUCUUCAACUCUAUUAGAAUUCAAAUUUGGCCCUAUUUUUCCGGAGAUGGUUUUUCCUAGCAAAUCCCUGCAUAAACAAACGUUCUUCAAAAUCUAAGUAUGGAAUGCUUAUUUGUUUAAUUGGUAGAGAAAAUCACUUCAUAAUCUCCUCUAGGCAUUACAGCAAACACGUGGUACACAACAGAAAUCAACAUAUGUACCUUAGCAAGAAAGGGUAAUGCUUCAUUGUCUACGCACUUGGCACCAUUGUUUUGGGCACAUGUGGCUCUUUGAAAUAUAUCAUCCUAAGCAUAACAAUUUAGAUACUAACAUAUUUGGUUGCUUAAUACUUUGAUACAUGGGAAGAAGAAUGUUUCAUUUUGACACAUUUAGUUCUGUUGUGGACCAUGAAAUAAUAUUGCAGCCACUAAUUAAACCAUGCAGUCAAAUUGGUAUGAAAGCAUAAUUAUGAAUCUUCCCAUUAAAGAUUAAAAUGCGAUAUAAUUCUAGGCUGACAACAAUAAAAGAAGCAGUACAGAUCAACCAAAAUGCGAAAUUCAACAGAAGAGUGCAAGUUUCAAGAAUCUGGAAAGAGAUUAUGUAGUACAAUAUUUAAGGAUCCUCUAGGACCUCCUGCAGGUAGAACUGUCAUCUGCAUCAUCUACUAACUCUACUACAAAAUGAAGCUGCUCGUGUGUCAGCAGUUGUCACUGAAUUUUUAGAUGACCGGCAGUAAAGUUUGCUGCUUAUUUUUGGACUGCUAAGUUUAAGUUUUCCAUGUGUGUAGGUGUAGCAGGUAACAGCUCUGAACGCUGAAAAAAAGAAUAAAAAUCGAAUCCUUUCUCCAUGCACUCACAAUGCCUAUGAAUUUCACAUAGUGCUCGUUUAAACAGCACACACAUUGUCCAUUCAAAAAGAGGUGGAAUAAAAUUAAAUCUAAACCGAACUUGACAAAUUUUUUAAUUCAGAGCCUUUGUAUAGCUGACAAUGGAUCAUCGUAUACAACAAGAUCCAGUAAGUAAUGCAAGAGCACACACAUACAUAAGAGUCAAAAAACUGAUUAGAAGGCAUGACCUACAUGGAUAGACUGAGGUUUCUGCAGUGCAAGGAUUAAAAAAUGGUAGCAACAUGCCAAAGACAACGACAGUCAAGGAUGGCAUCUCCUUCCAUUCGGUGGUCCUUGCUCUCUGCAAUCCCGAAAGAAGAACAUACCUUAAAAGGCUGAAAUCAGGAGUAAAGAACAUAUCAAAAGGGUUCAGAAAUAGAAAGCAGAAAAUUCAAGAGUCAGUACAAAAACAAAAUAGGUCUUUGUAUCAUAAACUCUGUAUAUCCAAAUCACUAAGAAGAUCCUCUGCUCUACUACUCCUUCAACUUCGAGGACGCCUCGCAUGCUGCGCCUCUUACUUCUAAUAAACACAUGAACGAAUCAGCAUUUAUGCGUUGAAUAAAAAAGAUCCCCAUGAAACAUAC
rnacentral:lncRNA from 1 species